UACAUAGGGGGCGAGCGUUAUCCGGAAUUAUUGGGCGUAAAGGGUGAGUAGGCGGACGAUUAAGUCUUUGGUGUAAGUGCAGUGCUUAACGCUGUGAUGCUAAAGAAACUGGUUGUCUAGAGUUGGAUAGAGGCAAGUGGAAUUCCAUGUGUAGCGGUAAAAUGCGUAAAUAUAUGGAGGAACACCAGUGGCGAAGGCGGCUUGCUGGGUCUUGACUGACGCUGAGGCACGAAAGCGUGGGGAGCAAACAGG
rnacentral:rRNA from 1 species